GCGGAAACGAAGAUGGAUGCCGAAUCAGCAUGAUCAGACAGAAAGCUUAUAUUUGCGGGUACUUAGCGAAAAUGACUGUCGGGUACAGUACUAUUACACGUGGUGACUGAAGUCUGGUCAGUCGGCAGGCAACAGUACUCAAUUUACCGCAUUCCUACAAUCCAACUGAAAUUACGGGUAUUCAGAAUCGGCCUUCGAACAGUUGAUGAAGCCCGCCCUGGUAGAUGGAAUCUGCCGCUUGACCAGCAGCACUGUCCAGAGACAGUGGUUGAUGCUGGAUAUAUGACUUUUCCUCAGUCCAUCAUUACUUGCUGGAGUGCUGGUAGAGGGUGAACGCUUUAAUAAAUAUAACUGUGAUCUUGCUGAGAUGUAGUAAUCCAUGGGAAUUUUCCAAAGAAGAUUCAAGAGAACUUUCUGGACCUUAAAAGAUGUUGACACCCUGCUGAUGGAGCAGAUCCUAUUUCUUAGAAGCAGAAAGCAGUUCUCUUACUAUCAGAUCUGAUCCAUUUUUGGAGAUAGCCUUUUGUAUGGAGCUGGGUAACGGUUACUGGAGACGUGCUGUUGAUUGAUGAGGAUAAUUUUCCCGAGACUCUGGCAUAUUGCAGGACCUGGAUAGCUCUACUGGUGUUUAAAAUGCCAGGACUGUAGAGUGUUGUGAUGUUAUUGAUGGUCAACAGAAGACUGUGACCUUGAAUCUGAAGAUCUGUGAUGAAGACUGGACGUUUGGUGUCACUCUCUGUUACAGUACUACAAAUCUAAGUAAGUACUCAGUAAUAAUGUAAGACUGAACUCUGUAUCAUGUUUAUCUAAUAUAUACAUUGUAAAAUCAAACACAUAUUGAAAUACAUAAUUAACAAACAGAAUAAUUAGUAGUUUAUCACACACAAACAAGUAUAUGUGUACUUGUAUAGAUGUACUAUAAUUCAAGGUUACACACAAAAUACUGACAAAGUGACUUAGUACAUCACAAGAAAUGAUUGACCUUUAUUUACAUUUCAUGAUUAACAUGUGUCUAAUUGUAUAUAGAUAAUUAACUAGUAACACAAUCUAAUUAUUAAUUAGUAUACUAAGAUUAGAUAUAAUAAUACAGAUAUUGUAAGAUAUAAUUACUAAACAGCAGUGAGAGACUAAUGUUCUAUCAGUUAAACUCACAAACACAAGGACAUGUUAAUUACACAUCACAGACACAGGGCUGUAAUUAACACAGGGCUGUAAUUAACACAGAGCUGUAAUCAACAAGCAGAUGUAAUCAACACAAAGAUGCAAUUAACACUGUGUUUAGGUGUGUAAUGAACAGGGUUUUUAGAUGUGUAAUUAACACUGUAGAGUUGUGUAAUUAACACUGUGUUUAUAGAUAUUGGAUUUUCUUCACUUUAGCAGUGACAUGCUCAGCCACAAAGAGGUUGUCUCUGAUGUCCACACAUAAACCUGAUGGAUAGCGUAAAUGACAGUGAAUGUAACGGAGGAACUGUCCG